rnacentral:rRNA from 1 species
GACGAACGCUGGCGGCGCGCCUAAUACAUGCAAGUCGAACGGACACCUUCGGGUGUUAGUGGCGGACGGGUGAGUAACACGUGGGCGACCUGCCUUCGAGUGGGGAAUAACGCUGGGAAACCAGCGCUAAUACCGCAUACGCUCGCUCCUUCGUGGGAGCGAGGAAAGCUUGAUGCGCUCGAAGAGGGGCCUGCGGCGGAUUAGCUAGUCGGUGGGGUAACGGCCUACCGAGGCGACGAUCCGUAGCUGGUCUGAGAGGAUGAUCAGCCACACUGGGACUGAGACACGGCCCAGACUCCUACGGGAGGCAGCAGUAAGGAAUCUUCCGCAAUGGGGGCAACCCUGACGGAGCGACGCCGCGUGGAUGAAGAAGCCUUUCGGGGUGUAAAAUCCUUUUCUCGGGGAUGAGAUGGACAGUACCCGAGGAAGAAGCCUCGGCUAACUACGUGCCAGCAGCCGCGGUAAUACGUAGGAGGCGAGCGUUGUCCGGAAUUACUGGGUGUAAAGCGCGUGUAGGUGGCAGGCCAAGUCUGUGGUGAAAUCACCCGGCUCAACUGGGCGGGGUCCAUGGAAACUGGUCAGCUGGAGGACGGUAGAGGCGAGUGGAAUUCCCGGUGUAGUGGUGAAAUGCGUAGAGAUCGGGAGGAACACCAGUGGCGAAGGCGGCUCGCUGGGCCGGUCCUGACACUGAGACGCGAAGGCGUGGGGAGCGAACGGGAUUAGAUACCCCGGUAGUCCACGCAGUAAACGAUGCACACUAGGUGUGGGGGGUAUCGAGCCCCUCCGUGCCGUAGCUAACGCAGUAAGUGUGCCACCUGGGGAGUACGGCCGCAAGGUUA